GCUACAGCAAGGGCAUACAGUUUGAAGCGUACAAAGCUAGAAGUUACUCUAUGAAAAAUUCUUCUCAUCAGUAAACACAACUAUAAGUAGAAGAUUUUUUCUUAUUAAUGCGUACUCAGAACAAUAUUUCUAUCUUGUCAGUUAUAUAAUUGAUAAUACUGUGUAUAGGAUUAUCAAGGCUCAUGCCUGUAAUCCCAGCACUUUGG
rnacentral:lncRNA from 10 species